ACAAUCCGCCCACCUUUUAAAGUGAUAUGCUGACUUCCUUAGAAUGACCGGAUGUUGUUUACGACCCAGCAGGUGAAUAGCUCAUAUUUAGUGAGCGCUAACACGCAACAAUGAACAAGGGUCUGGUGUGCAAGUGAUUCAUAAAUGGACUUGUUUUCAUUGAAAAUGGCAUCACUGACAUUUUGGAGCGACGCACACAGCUUUGGAGAUCUGCAGCCUGGCUUAUGAGAGGGUGAGUAAAAAGGGGGAAGAGGUGCCCCCCGCCCCCAUAAAAUCACAUCACUUGUUGGCGCUAUCAGGUUUCUGUCUGGUUCCUGCACAGGAAAAAAUAACAACUCUUGUUUUGGCAUUG